UGUGAUUCAUGACUGGGGUGAAGUCGUAACAAGGUAACCGUAGGGGAACCUGCGGUUGGAUCACCUCCUUACCU
rnacentral:rRNA from 1 species